UACGAAGGGGGCUAGCGUUGCUCGGAAUCACUGGGCGUAAAGGGUGCGUAGGCGGGUCUUUAAGUCAGGGGUGAAAUCCUGGGAGCUCAACUCCAGAACUGCCUUUGAUACUGAGGAUCUUGAGUUCGGGAGAGGUGAGUGGAACUGCGAGUGUAGAGGUGAAAUUCGUAGAUAUUCGCAAGAACACCAGUGGCGAAGGCGGC
rnacentral:rRNA from 1 species